rnacentral:misc_RNA from 1 species
UACAGAGACUGCAAGCGUUAUUCGGAUUCACUGGGCGUAAAGGGUGCGCAGGCGGUUGUGUGUGUUAGGUGUGAAAUCUCGAGGCUUAACCUCGAAAUUGCGCCUAAAACUACAUGACUAGAGCAUUGGAGAGGGUAGCGGAAUUCAUGGUGUAGCAGUGAAAUGCGUAGAUAUCAUGAGGAACACCAGAGGCGAAGGCGGCUACCUGGACAAUUGCUGACGCUCAGGCACGAAAGCGUGGGGAGCAAAAGGG